GAAAAGGACAGAGAACAUGUGAGCGAAUACGAACAACAAACGUUUGAGACGAGAGAGUUUGGUCGGAAUUUUGUAUUUUAUUUUACUUUGUUCUUAUUUAUUAUAUCAUUUUUUACUUGUGUGUGAGUGUGUGCCGAGUUACGGGUCGGUACAUUUGGUGCCGUGACCAAGAUUUUUACGAAGAAAAACGAGCGAAAUCAACAACGAAGUACGUAUAUAUUUUGUGAUAUUUUGGCGCCAAUAUUUGUUUAUCGUAUUAAAUCUCGAAUUCAGUGAUACUAUUGUGGAAAAAUAUAACGGACAUGAUGGGAGACGAAAGCAACGAACAAGUAGAGGGUUUAGAAGACACCGAGCGUAC